rnacentral:lncRNA from 1 species
AUUUUUUUUUUUACCUGUCAGCGCUGAGGGCAGUGAGAGUGAACACAGAAACCCCCACCGAGGUGAGCUGGAUGGCUGGGAUGAGUUUGCAGCCCAGCUUGCCGAACACCCAUUCAUCAAAGAAGUAGCGGGAGGCAUCCACUGGAACGCAGCUUUGCUCUUCUCUCCACCGAUCCUGUUGUACAACUGCGUAGAACUGAAGGGUGGCCGAAUCUGUUUUCAUUCUGCGUGCCCAUAUACAUCCAUCCUCAAGCGACUCCAAGCAGGAAGUUUGUGAGCCUCUGAGGAUUGGAGAUCUGAGUUGGCAGGUCCCCAGUGCUCAAACACUGAAUUUAGUGAGCCAGCCAGGGACAAAGACUCCUCUCCACUCUAUUCUAUCAUCCUCUGACUACAUCCACCCCAAGUCUGGAAACUCUUUACUACAGUUGAUGCUUCUUUAAACUUAUAUUUUAUUGUGAUUCAGCACGUGUUAAGUGCAUAUCUCUUAGAUGUAUGCUUUACUAUCAGGACAAACAGUCUAGUAAAAACCACCAUUACGUCUUAUUAUGUCACCAUUAACCUUAGUUGGCUCUCUCCUUGGGAUACACCUUUUCAGAAUGCAAUCAUCCUCUGACCUCGCCCUUUAUACAUCAGUGAGAAGUCCACAUGCUUUGAGAGGAGCAGAUUAUGUGUUAUUUUGGCUAUCUAGAAACAGAUUAACUGUUACCUAACCGUUCUCAUGUUCACUAACAUUUGCAAGUUUCCCAACUUUAGCUGAUUUAAAUGAAAUUUCCAUGAACAUUUUUGCACAUGGUUUCUGGUGCACAUACUUGCAUAAAUACCAGGCUUGAAUUUGCUAGACUCAGAGCUAAUGUACAUGUUGUAAAACUUAGAGUUUUUUUUUUUUAAAUAUGAAUCGGCAACUUGUUUUUCCUUUCAUACUAGUGUGAUAUUAACACUAUCUGCAUGUGUGUAUGUAUGUAUAUGCGUGUAUACACAUAUGCCUAUAGUUAAUAAUGCCAGUCAUAAAAUUAGACACUUAAAAUCGAAUAUAUUCAUUUUCUGAAGUGUAAUGUUGUAUGACACCCAGGAUGGUCUUCAGUUCUUAUGCUCAGGUGAUUGAUUCUCUUGCUUCAGUUUCAGGUUUUUGGAACUAUAGGACCUAACCCUGCAGCCAAAUUGACAGUUUAAUAAUCUGUCAAUAGGAUUAACAUGACUUUCUGAAUAACCCCCACAUUGGAAUUUUACAACGAAAACACUGCUCAGGGUCAGAGAGUUAGCUUAGUGCAUAAAGCAGCUGUAGUGCAAGACAGACAGACUGAAGUCAUCCCUUGACCCAUGUAAGGUAUGGGAGGAGAAAAGCAACUGGGAGGUACCACUUCUGACUUCCACAGCAUAUCUGACAAAACAAGAACAAC